rnacentral:rRNA from 1 species
UACGUAGGUGGCAAGCGUUGUCCGGAUUUACUGGGUGUAAAGGGAGCGUAGACGGCUGUGCAAGCCAGAUGUGAAAGCCCGGGGCUCAACCCCGGGACUGCAUUGGAAACUGUCGCGCUCGAGUGUCGGAGAGGUAAGUGGAAUUCCUAGUGUAGCGGUGAAAUGCGUAGAGAUUAGGAAGAACACCAGUGGCGAAGGCGACUUACUGGACUGUAACUGACGCUGAGGCAUGAGAGCAUGGGGAGCAAACAGG